rnacentral:snRNA from 1 species
AGCUUUGCACAGUGGCAGUAUUGUAGCCAGUGAGGUUUAUCUGAGACAUGAUUAUUGCUAAUUAAAUAAAAUACUAAAAG